UCGGGCGUCGUGCGCAGUUGGGCUAGACGCCCUAGUGUGGGGUCAGAGAAAAUUCCCCUUUGAACGGUCGGCAGCGACCUUUGCCCAGUCGUGGCGUUCUGCCGUGGGGUCGCAGGGCCGUGGCGGGCAGGGAGCCAGGUUGGCUGCAGGCGCGGCGGGGGCGCUCGCUCCCCGCCUCUUCCCUCAUUCCCUCCCCCGCGCUCCAGAGCUCCUGACCCCAAAGGGAGCCGUGAUUCCCAGCAGGCCUGUAUUUUAAUUCCAAGCAAGGAGUUGAAGAUUUCCAGCUAUUUAUUCUCCAGUAUUCUCCAAGCAAGAACACUGAGUGGGUUGCCUUUCCCUUCUCCAGGAUAUCUUCCUGACCCUGGGAUUGAAUCCGGGUCUCCCGCAUUGCGGGCAGAUUCUUUACCAUCUGAGCCCCCAAGGAAGUCAUGGAAACCUUCCUGUUCUCGGAGCCUCUCUGUGUCUGGAUGGCCUCAAAUGUAUGUGGGAGAGGAUGGGGAACAGAUU